rnacentral:lncRNA from 1 species
UUCAUGGCACAGGAUCGAAUGUCACAUCUUUACUAUAUAACAGGAGUUCUAUACAAAAUAAAUAAAUAAUUUCAUUAUAAGGAGACAACGGUCCAGCAACCCAAAGUUGACUGGGAGACGACGGCCUAGACCUCUCACGAACUCGCCACAGCAUCCUCCAUGCGCCUCAUCCUGCGGUACCUGUUCUUGACCUGUGGGGGGGUGUGAGACAGCAAGAGUGAGCUCACAUACGUUCAUCGCUCAACAAGUUGUGGGGAAUAAUGUGAAUGAACUCGCCAAAGAUGGGAGCUCAUGUGAAGUGUAAGGCUUACCAAAGAGGAUGGUUAGAGCUGAGCAUUGCUUUUAAAGUUGGUCAAAGUUUUAUUAGCAAUUACUAAGUAUAAGUAAAUACCAACCCAAUUAAAUAGUAGAACAGAAGUAACAUCACCUGCGAUGCAAUGCAUAUGACAAAUUGAAUUUAGUUCCAUAAGUUAAUCAUGUGAGGGUCCGAGCCGCUCAUGACCGUGAGCACAGCUAGUAUACCAGUUUUACACUCUGCAGAGGUUGCGCAUCUUUACCCACAAGUCAUGUUACCCAUCUGCCAAGGGAUCGCGACUUCCCAUACACCUCUACCGAGGAGGCGAGGCAGGGUAACACUACGAGGCCUUUACAAAGUUCCACUAGCUUCAGAAAACCCGCUACAGUUUAUAGGAAGCUCCAAUGCAGGAAUCCCUUGCAGGACCGCCAUCGCAGCAAAAUCCUCCCGAGGGCCUCCCUACACUGACCACUCCCCUACUGCCCUUGCCCCUUUCAGGUAAGGUAGUCUUCCACUAGCUUUCCUAAUUAAUCAGCCAAGGGCGUCCCAUUAAACCCUUGUGGUAGCACUGUUUUCCCAGGUGGUCGCUCCAUGUUCCAAUUAACAUAAUGAUCUUAUCAUGAACAGAAAUAAUAAACUGAUAAUAAAAGUGUAAUCAUGAAUAAUGUAUCUUCAUACCCAAAACCACAUAAAGCACUAGCAAGUACUACCCAAAAAGUUCAGUGGUAAACAAGGUAUAAAGAUAAUCAAACUAGGGUAACCUAUUGGGUCCCAUCAAAAUUAACCUAUGCAGAUCAUUAUGAUUAAUCAGAACAUGAGUAGGUAAAAAGAAGUGAUCAAGGGCACAACUUGCCUGGGACUUGAGAUUCCAGGUACCAACUUGCUCUUCAGCUGACUCGUGACCUCACUGCUAAACGUAGCAAUACAGACAAACAUUGUAUAGGCAAAAUUAACAUCACACUAAACAUAAGAACAAAUUGUAUAAUAAUGAUCUACGCGUCACUACGAGAUCGUGGGAUCGAGAACCACUAAAUUUGGGGUUACGGUUAUGAAGUUAUGGCUUUCCGAAGAUCCACGUGGUUAAGCACUUAAAACUAGACCUUAUGUUUAUUUAAUAGAUCAUAUGAGAGAAUAACCUAAAUGAAUAUUUAAUUCAACUUUAAGUUAAAUCAUAAUAUAAUUAGGGAUCAUAUUUUAGCCAAACUAUAAUUAUAAAUAGAUUAACUUUGAUUUCAGAGAGGUUAAUCUAGUAAACAUAGGUUAAAUGAAUAUCUAACUAUAAGUAUCAGAUAUGGUAUAAUUAAUGUUUUUAGUAUGUAGAGAAUAUUUUUAUGAAGCUAACGCAACUGGAACGGAGUAAAACAGAUUUAAAACGAGUAAGUUAUGCCAUAAACAAAUUUCUAGGUUUCCUAAUUAUUUAUUUUAACUCUGUAACGGUUUCUAGGGGUAUAUUUAAAAAGUCCAGGGACCCUAUUGUAAGUUUUACCUAAUACCGAGGAUGGCGGGUUUAUUAUGUGAAAACCGAGGGGCUCUUUAGAAAGUUUGCCUCGGCGAAGGGGUACGGGGAAACCAGAGUCGUUGGAUUAUAAUCCGAGGGUUCGGAUUAGAUCUUCAUCAGUUAUGAAGCGGUAUGACACGCGGACCGAUGGAUCGGUGAUCGACGGCCGAGAGUUAAAUAAAUGGAACUCGAUCCCCAUCGUCCCACAGAAACAUACGGCGCAGAUGGAUUGAUCAGGCUGGUAGGGUAAGAUCUGAUCAAGACCCUUUGUUGCCAGAUCCAUGGUCGCGAAUUCCCCAGCCAAAUAGAUAGGCAUGGCCUGAUCCGAGCCGUUAGCGGCUAGAUCAACGGCACAUGAUCAUCUCCCUGCUCCCAGGCGCUCGGACGGGCGGCGCCGCCAAGCAUCCGCGGUGAAGUCCAUCGCCGCCCCAUGCGACACGCCGCCCAGGCGCACAACCCAUAAACCUGAUGAGGUCUUCGUGAAGCAUAAACAAUGGCGAUUACACAGGAAGUAGUUUUACCGACGGCGGUGGUGAGUGCGGUGCUGCCCACGGCGAGAUGCGGGCGUGAAUGUCGCUGAGUGGAUGAACAGGCGAACAGGUUGGUCCCGUGCGGCAGCGGGAGCGCGCGGAGGCGGGUGCCGACAGGAUCUCGGUGGCAGCAGUGCGGGCGAGCACCGAUGGAAAGGAGCUUGGGCACCGCUCACCGAAGAUCGAAAUCCACAGCGCCAUGGCGUGGUCGGUCCGGGUUUGUGCGUUAUCCU